rnacentral:rRNA from 1 species
AACGCGAAGAACCUUACCUACCCUUGACAUGGAUGGAAUCCUGAUGAGAUUUGGGAGUGCUCGAAAGAGAACCAUCACACAGGUGCUGCAUGGCUGUCGUCAGCUCGUGUCGUGAGAUGUUGGGUUAAGUCCCGCAACGAGCGCAACCCUUGUCAUUAGUUGCUACGAAAGGGCACUCUAAUGAGACUGCCGGUGACAAACCGGAGGAAGGUGGGGAUGACGUCAAGUCCUCAUGGCCCUUAUGGGUAGGGCUUCACACGUCAUACAAUGGUACAUACAGAGGGCCGGCAACCCGCGAGGGGGAGCUAAUCCCAUAAAGUGUAUCGUAGUCCGGAUUGGAGUCUGCAACUCGACUGCAUGAAGUGGGAAUCGCAUUCUAUCGCAGAUCAGCAUGUCGCGGUGAAUACGUUCCCGGGUCUUGUACACAC